ensembl:snRNA U2 U2 spliceosomal RNA
AUCGCUUCUCGGCCUUUUGGUUAAGAUCAAGUGUGCUGUACAUUGGAGAAAUCCCUUCUAUUGAAAAGAAUGAAAUAACAUAAAUGGAGUCCAUCCUGGGAAAUCUACACUGUAUUAAAACACAGCAUUCCUUUAUUUGUGCUGUCAUUACUCUGCUGACAUUUCUUAAUUAAAUACUC